rnacentral:rRNA from 1 species
CUACGGGUCGCUCCAGUGGGGAAUAUUGCACAAUGGAGGAAACUCUGAUGCAGCAACGCCGCGUGGAGGAUGACACUUUUCGGAGCGUAAACUCCUUUUAUAUAUCAAGAUAAUGACGGUAGUAUAUGAAUAAGCACCGGCUAACUCCGUGCCAGCAGCCGCGGUAAUACGGGGGGUGCAAGCGUUACUCGGAAUCACUGGGCGUAAAGAGCAUGUAGGCGGAUUAAUAAGUUGGAAGUGAAAUCCUAUGGCUUAACCAUAGAACUGCUUCCAAAACUGUUAAUCUAGAGUAUGGGAGAGGUAGAUGGAAUUUCUGGUGUAGGGGUAAAAUCCGUAGAGAUCAGAAGGAAUACCGAUUGCGAAGGCGAUCUACUGGAACAUAACUGACGCUCAGAUGCGAAAGCGUGGGGAGCAAACAGGAUUAGAUACCCUCGUAGUC